rnacentral:lncRNA from 1 species
AGGUAUGUUUUGUAUUCGUAUUUGUACGCUUUUACUUUAACCUUUAGUACCCCCUUGGAGGAUGAGGAUCCUCUCCAGAUCCUCUUUGUGGGGAUCCUAGGGAUCAUCUUUGUGGUGAUCUUAGGGAUCCUCACAUUCUAACUAUUUAUUGUACAUCAUGUGGUUAGUUUUCUUUAAUUACCAUUUGUGUUUAAUUUUAAAUAAUAAAA